CUUUCCUUACAUACUUAGCCUGGAUGAUGAGGAGAAGAACAAUGUUGCUGAUGCCAAGUUUGCUGUAAAGUUCCCUAGAGUCCACAGCAUGGUUCAGACAAAGAGUUCCUUAUCUGGGGGCUCUGGGAGUGAUUAUUCCCUGGAGAAAGUGACAACUCUAUCAAGCAGAAAAUCUAUGAUACCUGUGCAACAGGGCUGCAGAUUCCACUGUGACGUUCCCAGAUCUUUGAUGGAUCAAACCUCUCAGAGAAACAGCCAACAGUAUUCCUGCAAUGGUGAAAUAUUUGCAUCAAGAGCAGGCAGUGCAAGACAGGUGACAUCUACCGCAACCCAAUACAGAGUGACUAGGCUUCUGAGCUCCUCGCCCCAGCAGAUCAAAACUCCUGAGGAAACUUCCACAUCCCAGUUCUUCACCACUGGGCAAGACUUGCAGUCUCACCACAAAGACACUAAACUCUCCCUUUCUUCAGAAGCAUCUGGAAAUUACUGUUAUGCUCUGAGCUUCCUUCCGCAGCAAGAAGAGGAUUCAAGGCAUAGAGUAGAUUAUUCCAGGAAGGUAGAUGUCAACGAGAAUUCAGGUGCCCUUCAGACUGCAGCGUCCAAAGUCAUAUCUUAUGUUCACUGGUCUCAGCAGCAGGCUCAGGGAUAUGAUCCUGCGGCAUGGCUGAAGUCUGAACUGCUGCUCCCACGACUCACCAUUGAGAACCUAAGCAAAUGGACCAUUUACAAGGACCCACAUCUGGCAAACAGCCAUGGGAUGAAGGUCUUCAGGGAUGAGUGGGAAGCAGAAGAUAUUACUGAGGAUAUGCUAGAGAUGGAUGUAAUGCAGAAACAGGUGUACACGGAUGAAGACCACAGUGUGGAAGUUGAGGAGAUUGAAGAUCUAACUGGACUGGAGUACGUAGUGUCAGCAGUGAUCUGAAGCUAACUGAAAGUCACAGGGGCUGGUUUGUUAUCCUUUAAAGCUCCUGUUGGCUCAGCCGCAGAAAGCAUAUUGUAGACCCUUGGCUACCACUUGAGAACAUUGAAUGAAUUUAGUGCGUACCCUAUUAGAGGUAUGAUGCUGCUGAGGAAAGCUAAGUAAAAGGCUGAAUUGCACUAUUUAAGUCAUGGACCUGCACUGAGUCAGGUGCAGAGGAAACUCCUGACUACACUGUGUGCAGUGUGUCCCCACACUCUGUUACACAGAGAGUGCACGCUGAAUCUCGAGGGUCACACAGCAGAGAGAGUAGCUCACCAUGGUUAGUAAACUUUCUUACAGAUGCAUCCAGAGAACUCUAGCUCUCCUGUUAAACUGUUCCUAGGCCUAAAAUGAGUUUUAAAAAACAAAUCUACUUUAUGGAUAGGAGAAAUGAGGUCUAGAGGCUGAUGUGACCUCUGUGACGUUGCAGAGGGACAGAACCGUGAAUUGAACAUACCAUUCUUGUUGCGUGAAGUGGGCA
rnacentral:lncRNA from 1 species